rnacentral:rRNA from 1 species
GAUCAUGGCUCAGGACGAACGCUGGCGGCGUGCCUAACACAUGCAAGCCGAGCGGAGACAGUGAGUAGCUUGCUAUGAGCUGUUUUAGCGGCGGACGGGUGAGUAACGCGUGAGCAACCUUUCCCAGACAGGGGAAUAACACACCGAAAGGUGUACUAAUACCGCAUAAGACCACGGGAUCACAUGGUUCUGGGGUAAAAGAUUUAUCGGUUUGGGGUGGGCUCGCGUCCGAUUAGGUAGUUGGUGAGGUAACGG